AUUACGGCUCAGUAACACGUAGUCAACCUACCCUAUAGACGGGGAUAACCUCGGGAAACUGAGGAUAAACCCCGAUAGAUCAUUAUGCCUGGAACGGUUUAUGGUCCAAAUGAUUCGUCGCUAUAGGAUGGGACUGCGGCCUAUCAGCUUGUUGGUGAGGUAAUGGCCCACCAAGGCUAUUACAGGUACGGGCUCUGAGAGGAGAGGCCCGGAGAUGGGUACUGAGACACGGACCCAGGUCCUAUGGGGCGCAGCAGGCGAGAAAACUUUGCAAUGUGCGCAAGCACGACAAGGUUAAUCCGAGUGAUUCCUGCUAAAGGAAUCUUUUGUUAGUUGUAAAACCACUGAUGAAUAAGGGGUGGGCAAGUUCUGGUGUCAGCCGCCGCGGUAAAACCAGCACCUCAAGUGGUCAGGAGGAUUAUUGGGCCUAAAGCAUCCGUAGCCUGCUCUGUAAGUUUUCGGUUAAAUCCAUCAGCUCAACUGAUGGGCCGCCGAAAAAACUGCAAAGCUAGGGAGUGGGAGAGGUAGACGGUACUCGAUAGGAAGGGGUAAAAUCCUUUGAUCUAUUGAUGACCCCCUGUGGCGAAGGCGGUCUACCAGAACACGUUCGACGGUGAGGGAUGAAAGCUGGGGGAGCAAACCGGAUUAGAUACCCGGGUAGUCCCAGCUGUAAACGAUGCAGACUCGGUGAUGCCCUGGCUUGUGGCCAGUGCAGUGCCGCAGGGAAGCCGUUAAGUUUGCCGCCUGGGAAGUACGUACGCAAGUAUGAAACUUAAAGGAAUUGGCGGGGGAGCACCACAAAGGGUGAAGCCUGCGGUUCAAUUGGAGUCAACGCCGGA
rnacentral:rRNA from 1 species